AUACCUAAAAGCUAGCCCAGACAAUCUUAAAAUAUUUCACAAUUUAAAACUUUUAAUAUAUAAAAUAAACCAUUUAUGAGCCCCAGUAUGAGCGACAAAAAAGGAUAUCAGAGCUAUAGACACAGUACCGCAAGGGAAAGCUGAAAAAGAAAUGAAACAAAUUAUUUAAGUACCAAAUAGCAGAGAUUUCCUCCCGUACCUUUUGCAUCAUGAUUUAGCAAGUAAAAUCAAGCAAAGCGCCCUUUAGUUUGAUACCCCGAAACUAUGCGAGCUACUUCGAGACAAUCUUUUAGGAUAAACCCGUCUCUGUGGCAAAAGAGUGGGAAGAGCUUCAAGUAGAGGUGACAAACCUAUCGAGCACAGUUAUAGCUGGUUACCUGAGAAAUGGAUAAAAGUUCAGCCCUUAUAGACUUUCCCCCCCCGCCCUAAAAUUACGAUGGCACAGGAAAAUUAAGGAGUUAAACAGAAGGGGUACAGCUCUUCUGAAUAAAGAAACAACUUUAGUAGGUGAAUCAAGAUCAUA
rnacentral:rRNA from 1 species